GUGCCAGCCGCCGCGGUAAUACGGAGGGUGCAAGCGUUAAUCGGAAUUACUGGGCGUAAAGCGCACGCAGGCGGUUUGUUAAGCUAGAUGUGAAAGCCCCGGGCUCAACCUGGGACGGUCAUUUAGAACUGGCAGACUAGAGUCUUGGAGAGGGGAGUGGAAUUCCAGGUGUAGCGGUGAAAUGCGUAGAGAUCUGGAGGAACAUCAGUGGCGAAGGCGACUCCCUGGCCAAAGACUGACGCUCAGGUGCGAAAGUGUGGGUAGCGAACAGGAUUAGAUACCCUAGUAGUCC
rnacentral:rRNA from 1 species